UACAGAGGGUGCGAGCGUUUAAUCGGAAUUACUGGGCGUAAAGCGCGCGUAGACGGUUUUGUAAGUCAGAUGUGAAAUCCCUGGGCUCAACCUGGGAACUGCAUUUGAGACUGCAUGGCUAGAGUAUGGAAGAGGGAAGUGGAAUUUCCGGUGUAGCGGUGAAAUGCGUAGAUAUCGGAAGGAACACCAGUGGCGAAAGCGACUUCCUGGUCCAAUACUGACGUUCAUGUGCGAAAGCGUGGGGGAGCAAACAGG
rnacentral:rRNA from 1 species